rnacentral:tRNA from 1 species
GGAGACGUGGCUGAGUGGUCUAAAGCGGCACCGUGCUAAGGUGUUAGGGGGGCAACUCUCUCGUGGGUUCAAAUCCCACCGUCUCCG